ACGCGCGGGGCUCCGCGGCGUGCUGGGUCCCGGCUGGCCCCGCGUGGCCCGGCGCUUGCCCGAGCGCCUCUCCUUCUUAGGCCUCUGUUUUAAAGGCUGGAGCCAGGGGCGGCCAUGCGACACGACUGGCCAACGAGCUCUAAGUGGCAACUGAGGUGGUUUCAGAAGUGCUUCUCACGUUCCCAGGGAGGCCACCGUGCCAAGCCUGCUGGGGACGGGAGCCCCGGUCCCGCGCCGUGGGGCUGCGGCCAUGCGGGAGGAGCCCUGUGAGCCACAGGACCGUGCUUUCUGUUGCCUGAAGGCGGCUUCUCCGCUUCCUGACGCAGUCUGUCUGCUUCCCCAAAUGUGUGUGAUACGUUCACAAGCUGGGGGCGAAUUACUUUGCAGAUAAUUUUUAAAACUCACCUGUUAGUAUGAAACCUUGCAGACUGUGAUUUUCUCUUAAUCUGCCUUUCUGCUAAGUCACCCAAACUGAAGGAGAGUUCAGCUCUUCGUUUUGUUCCAACAAGCACUUCUCUGUGAAUUGCCACGUAUACAUAGGUGGUGUUUUUGGCACUGGGAAUGAAAAAAUGACAAGGUAGUCAUCUUUGCUUUCAAAGAGUUCAUAGUUCUUAUUUCAGAGACAGAAGCAAAAACAACGCAAGGUGAAACGCGUGAACAUAGGCCAUGUCCCCUGACUGAGCUCCGUGGGCGUCAUGACAUCUUCAGUCCCAGCCUUGACACGUAUCUCAUACGCAGUAAGUUGGCAGUAAAUCUGCUGACUGUGUGCAAAGUACUGAGGUCACGGGUGACUGAGCAGAUCUGUUAGGUGUGGCAGUGAACAAGGGGCCAUGUGUGCUGGGUCUUGAAGGAGGAGGAGGCAUGGCCUCUGGAGAGGAGGGCCUUCCUGACGGGACUGCAAGGAAGGGCAGUGGAGCGCGGCUGCCCUGCGGCCUUCUGGCCUUGGCCUGGUUCUGAUUUGAUCCCCAGCUCUAUUAGUUUUUAAAAUGAACUGUUAAUUUGAGAUUUACAGAUUGCUGUGACCAUUGCACAGAGUGCCCUUACGUUGUCCCAGCUUCUUAUCUUACCAUUAGUAUGGUACAUUGUUACAGUUAAUGACCCAUGUUGACACGUCACCACAUACUCACAGGACAUGUAUUAUUAUUAAGAUAUUUUGUACUUUAUUCAGAUUUCUCUAGUUUUUAGCUGAAGUCCUUUUUCUGUUCUAGGACCCCAUUCAGGAGACAGAACUACGUUUAGUCUUCUUAGGUUCCUUUUGGUUGUGACUGUUUCUCGGACUUGCCUUGUUUUUUGAUGACCCUGACAGUUCUGAGCACUGGGAAAGUAUUUUGUAAAAUCCCCCUCAGCUGGGACUGGUCUGGUGGUCUUCUUGAGGGUAGACUAGGGUCGUGUUUUAGGGAGAGGAGGGCGGCAGAGGUGAAGUGCGUUCGGAUCACAUUGAAUCGGGGUGCACGCCGCUGAUGCCGACCUUGGUCACCUGGCUGAGGCCGUGCUUGUCAGGUCUCCGCUCUUCGGAAGAAAGUCACUGUGCACAGCCCCCACUCAGGGAGCAGGAGGUCUGUUCCACCUCCCCAGGGUGGAGUAGCUACAUAAAUUAUUUGAAUUCUGCGUGGAAGAUUUAUCUGUUCUUCCCCCAUUUGAUUACUUACUCAGCCAUUUACACCAGUAUGAGCACAUGGUGUUUAUGUUACACUUUGGGGUAUAAUCCAGUAUUACUUUAAGUUGCUCAAAUUGUUCCAUCACUGGCUACUAGAAACUUCUGCAGUGGUUACCUGUGUCCCUUUGGCCUUCGACAUCACAUUGCUGCGUGGUGUCUGUUUUUUAGGAGAGAGGAGAGAGGAACCACAGGAUGCUCCAGGCUCACCUUGUCUGUUUCCUGCGCCAUUCCUGGGGUCAGCCAUUUCUCCAGGGAGCCAUGGUUCCUUUUGCUGGGGAGCCAAGACCUGGCCAUUAGGCUGCUGAAGCCCCAGCCAUCACAUCUGCUUUCCACCUGCAAGAAGGAGAAAGGGGUGGAAGAAGAGCUUAUGAGGAACUGGAGAUGCCUGAAGAACUCCAAAACUUACUUUGAAAGGUGAGACGCAGGCUGCCGCAUCGCUGUGGCAGCCCGAGGGCAGUGACGGAGCUGGACGCCCACUCCUCUGCCAGCCCGGGUGUGCGGCUGCGCCCCGCCUCCCACGUCCCGCCCCCGCGCCUUCCCCAGGCUGCGCCUCCUCCCUCCGAGGCCUUCUCUGCGCACCCAGAGGUAUGAAAAGAGUUCGGCUUUCUUGCAACAAUCUAGUAAGUGUGGGCGUUACCAGAGAAAAGAAAAGGGAAGACUCAAAAUAAAAGCAGUCCCUAAAAAUACAAGCUCUGGUCCCGCAGGAAGUCUGCAGGAGGCCGGGCCGAGGAUGGAGGAGGAGAGUUUUCUCACAUCUCCCGGGUCCAGUGAGUCACCACCUUCACGCUGACUCACGGUCUCUGACUCACUGAGCUCCUGUCAGUGUGUUCCCAGGGCUCCCGCAGAGGGGAGCUUCCUGUCUGCCGAGAUCGUGUCCCUCUCAAGGCUGUGCUCACAUUUCUGUCCCCUCUUCAGCCUUAGAAGCACGAACAGUUGUCACUGCGCCCCAGGCGGCAUACUCCGGCGCGCUUGUCCAGGAGCCGUGGGAAGGGCUCGGUCACGGCUCACUGAGUCCAGCGCUGGGGGCGGACAGGGGCGGGGCGGGACUGGGACAGGUGGGCGCCCCCCUGGCCCCGCUCCUUCCGCUGAGUUCAUCCUCACGCCUCUCCGUCUCCUCUGAGGCCCCCGCCGCUGGAGUGUAACCCGCUCUGGGCAGCAGGUGUGGCGCAGGACCCCUGCACUCAGCAGCGUCUGGCCAAAGGCUCCAUCCUUCUUGAGAUCAAAAGUAACGAUUUCUCUUUAAGAAAGACGCGCUGCUUCUCUGCAGCCCCCUCAGUGGGCUGAUGAAACUCGUAAGGAAUUUGCCUCGGCUGUAAGAGUGCUGUGCAGUUGCCACCUUCGCUCCAUUGCACUGGUGGCAGGGGUUUUAUAACGACGACCAGGCAGGAAUAAAGGCUGCACUUUUCCCUCCGA